rnacentral:lncRNA from 1 species
CGCAAACAAGCAUAAUUAAACUGGUGAUGAUCAUGGAUCUUAGAAGUGGAUUCGAACUCGAGCCACUGAGUCGGAAUCGGGGUCUUCGGGUCAUAAUUACAAGCACACACACGUCAUUGGUUUGAUUGUCUUCAACUUCUUGAUUCGAUCUGAAGCUUCAACUUGAUCCGAUCCUUAUCAACACCUUGAUCCGACCGCCAUCAAGUAUUCGUCACUAUCCGGGCCUUGCGAACUUUUAGGCUUGCAACCGAUCAACCAAUGACGUGCAACCAUACAUUAUACAACCCAAUAAUAAAAAUGAAAUAAAAUUUAAUUACAUUUGAUAACUUUUAUCUCUAACCUAUUGAGACAUGCAGGUCUCCAAAUAAAUCGGCUUGUGCACGCAGGCACAAAAAUAGCCAUCUCUAAUACAAAGUCCUUAAUUUAAACAAAUUUAAAAUUACAGGAUUCUGCAUACACAUCAUACAUCACAUGUCGAAAUAUAAAUAGGUCGCUAUCCAUGAUCAUCACCGAUAUGUAUCUCAUACAUCACAUAUAAAUAAAAAAUUUUGGGUAUUUUAAUUAACCGUUAAUCGAUAAUUCGAAAAAUAAUAGUGACUAAUCACUAAAACAAUUAAUCUAAUUAAUCGUUUAUAAUCUUGAUCAAAAAUUUAAUCGUCAAAAAUAACAACUUGAUCUCAUCAAGAUUUGAUCUAAUCAAAUUAGAUUUUUCUUUUUCUUUUAUUUAAAAAUUGAAUUGAUCUAAUCAAUUUAGAAAAAAAAAAAAAAAUUUUAAAAAAAAGCAAAAAAAAUUUUUUGACGUCCAUACGGACGCUACAGUAGCGUCCGUACGGAUGCUACAGUAAUUGCUACAGUAACCUUUUUUUUUUUUUUUUUUUUUUUUGAAAACGAGAAACCGUGGAUUAAAUUGUUCGAUCAAUUUGAUUUUACGAAUCAUCCAAACAACGAUCUAUAAAUCGUUCGAUCGGCGAAAAACGGUUUAGAAUACCCAAAAUCAUAAUUUUAAUCUUAAAAACAUGAGGAUGGCUCUGAUACCACUGUUAGAAAAUCGCGUACGGUAAAAACGCAGCGGAAAAAGAAAUCAAACAAAUUUGAUUUUAAAACUCUCGAGAUCUAAUCUCAAAACCACGCAAUUAGGAUCCCUCAUGUUCUUUAAGAUUAAAGGAGAAAAGUAAGAUCGAAUCAUUACCUUUUUCGCGGAUAAAUCCUUCCCUCAAUUUGAUGAUCGUGGAAUCGGGUUCUCUUGAAGCCGCACACGCGUCCGGCCUCUAUAGGUAUCCACACGAGGUUCUUGAUUUGAUCGAUGUCCUCACCGGGGUGCUA